CCAUCUUGUAGCGUGAAAGCACAUUCUGCUGAGCGACCGACUCGUGCUCUGGGCUGAGCCUGAUCCUCCGUCAUCUGUCAAGCGUAGCUGCCACCAAGAAGCCUCUCAACAGUCCAGGCUGCUUCAGCCUGGGUCACAAGGCUCCAAAGCCAAGAAGUCCAGUGAUAAGUUCCAGACAGCCGUAUACCACAUCAUCCGAGGUCGUGACACCUUGAGGCACGCGUGGGGCAGAAGCAAUGUCUACCAUAUUGUUUCCAUAAGAAAUAAGAGCUGGAGAAGUUGCUAUUCAGAGAUCAGGAUCAAGAGAGAGAUUCUUCAGGAUGUUGGAAGAAUGUGAACACCAGUAUCAUUUCUGCUUGUGACAUUGAUUUGAGUCUUGGUGGGAACUUUUGGCUCCAUUCAUGCUGACUAGGUCAGCACAUGAAAAGAACAUAAACAUGGAGAGUGGAGCUUAGUGUACUGCACCUGGGAAGGGUGAUGAUGGCAGGAUGUCUUCAAGGAGCGACUGACAGACAACUAGGAUGAUUCAGACUUGGGCAUUUGGCAGACAUUUUUUGAAAAAGGAACCAAGCGAGCCUGUCACUUCAAGGAAAACAACUGAACCACUGUUCCAACCCACCAUGGCAACCUUUCACAUCAUAACCACAGAAUUAUUUUCAGUUGGAGUGGACGUCUACAGUUGUCAUAUCCUGGGAAAAUAAGGUAUUCUCUCCAUGUUACUGAUUUGAGACCUAGGCAGGAUAAGCCAUCUGUCUGCCAUAACUCAAGGCUUUGCGUAUAACAGGUUUUCAGAAGGAGUAGGCCUUCAGAGUCUCUUUAGUGAGCAUUAGACUGAACACGGGGAAGUUUGGGACAGUUGUUAUCGCUCCUGAUGG